rnacentral:rRNA from 1 species
UACGGAGGGCGCGAGCGUUGUCCGGAAUCACUGGGCGUAAAGGGCGCGUAGGCGGCCCUGGUAAGUCUGCGGUGAAAGCCCGGGGCUCAACCCCGGGUCGGCCGCAGGUACUGCCGGGCUGGAGUGCCGUAGGGGCAGGCGGAAUUCCGGGUGUAGCGGUGGAAUGCGUAGAGAUCCGGAAGAACACCGGUGGCGAAGGCGGCCUGCUGGGCGGCGACUGACGCUGAGGCGCGACAGCGUGGGGAUCAAACAGG